UACGUAGGGUGCAAGCGUUAAUCGGAAUUACUGGGCGUAAAGCGUGCGCAGGCGGUUUUGUAAGUCUGUCGUGAAAGCCCCGGGCUCAACCUGGGAAUUGCGAUGGAGACUGCAAGGCUUGAAUCUGGCAGAGGGGGGUAGAAUUCCACGUGUAGCAGUGAAAUGCGUAGAGAGGUGGAGGAACACCGAUGGCGAAGGCAGCCCCCUGUGUCAAGAUUGACGCUCAUGCACGAAAGCGUGGGGAGCAAACAGG
rnacentral:rRNA from 1 species